rnacentral:rRNA from 1 species
GAUGAACGCUGGCGGCGUGCUUAACACAUGCAAGUCGAACGGUGAAGCUCCAGCUUGCUGGAGUGGAUCAGUGGCGAACGGGUGAGUAACACGUGAGCAACCUGCCCCGGACUCUGGGAUAACAGUUGGAAACAGCUGCUAAUACCGGAUACGCACCAUACAGGCAUCUGUUGUGGUGGGAAAGAUUUUUUGGUUCGGGAUGGGCUCGCGGCCUAUCAGCUUGUUGGUGAGGUAAUGGCUCACCAAGGCGUCGACGGGUAGCCGGCCUGAGAGCGUGCCCGGCCACACGGGGACUGAGACACGGCCCAGACUCCUACGGGGGGCAGCAGUGGGGAAUAUUGCACAAUGGGCGGAAGCCUGAUGCAGCAACGCCGCGUGAGGGAUGACGGCCUUCGGGUUGUAAACCUCUUUUAGCAGGGAAGAAGCGAGAGUGACGGUACCUGCAGAAAAAGCGCCGGCUAACUACGUGCCAGCCGCCGCCGUAACAC